rnacentral:rRNA from 1 species
UACGUAGGGUGCGAGCGUUGUCCGGAAUUAUUGGGCGUAAAGGGCUCGUAGGCGGUUUGUCACGUCGGGAGUGAAAACUCAGGGCUCAACCCUGAGCCUGCUUCCGAUACGGGCAGACUAGAGGUAUGCAGGGGAGAACGGAAUUCCUGGUGUAGCGGUGAAAUGCGCAGAUAUCAGGAGGAACACCGGUGGCGAAGGCGGGUCUCUGGGCCAAUACUGACGCUGAGGAACGAAAGCGUGGGGAGCGAACAGG